GACGAAGGGGGCUAGCGUUGUUCGGAAUUACUGGGCGUAACGCGCGUGUAGGCGGUUGUUCAAGUCAGGUGUGAAAGCCUUGAGCUCAACUCAAGAAAUGCACUUGAUACUGGAUGACUAGAGGACCGGAGAGGAUAGUGGAAUUCCCAGUGUAGUGGUGAAAUACGUAGAGAUUGGGAAGAACACCAGUGGCGAAGGCGGCUAUCUGGACGGUUUCUGACGCUAAGACGCGAAAGCGUGGGGAGCAAACAGG
rnacentral:rRNA from 1 species